UGGAGAGGUAUCGAAGUGGUCAUAACGAGGCGGUCUUGAAAACCGUUUGUCCGAAAGGGCGCAUGGGUUCGAAUCCCAUCCUCUCCGU
rnacentral:tRNA from 1 species